rnacentral:lncRNA from 1 species
GGGAGGCGGCGAUCGGCUGCCACCCGAGCAGGGGCGCCUCGGUCCUUCGCACCCCGCCGUCCCUCCGCUGAAGACCGUGCGCCCCGGAGUGGGUCUAACGCAACCCUGAGCUCGGGUUCUGCAGAGGACCGGGUCCCCUGCCCCUGCCUGCAGACACUCCUCCGACCGCGGACCUAGCUGGCCCUCCCUCUCCUUGCCUUCAUCGUGAACGAAAAAUCCUACCUAGAAUGGGAGAUGCUAAUACACAAUGAUCGGAAAGAAUUCAAUUUUGUGUAUCCCUUUGUAAUUCCAAGUAUGAAUUGCAGGUCUAAUGAUCUCUCUCUGGCCCAAGGAAUUCCCCAAUUUUCUAAAGCUUUAAAACCUACACUACUUUAUUUUACAUCCCUUCUAAAUAUGUCAAAUUCGUCUCUUGUGAGUUCAUGAAAUAUUCGCCAAGAAUUUGCUCAAGCUGGGCACAUAUGGCAGGCAGAUCUCUCUUUAAUUUACAGGUGAUGUCUGCUGGGACAAUGGCGCACAAGCAGAGGAGAUAUUCAUCAGCUGUACAUCUGCUGUUCCUUGCUGCCCCACAAGCCCAGAAUUCUGGUUGUCUUACAAUGUUCGGAGGUUCAGUGACAUGUGUGUUUCAUCUUUGAUUGGUAAGUGGGGGUGCUGACAGCCCUGAGAGGUCACAUUUUCCAUUCAAACCAGAACUUGUUUUGAAUGCAGAAAAAAAGGCAAUGGCAUUCUAAAAAAUGUGAAUGACCAGGGAAAUGGAUCAUAUAUCUUUUCUUACUUGUUAUAUUUCCCUGUAUUAGCUAAUCACAUAUGCUGAACAUGAAGACGUAGAAGAAAUGGGAAAUAUUGGGCAAUGUAUAGUUCUUUUUCCUUUCAGCCAUUCCUUGCUCAUCACUAAGCUGAAGAUAGAGUGUUGGUAGAAUGCUUACAUAUCAAGGAAUAAAAGCAAUUGAGCUGGUUGUGCAGUGUUUCCAAUAUUCUGGUAAGAACAAAAUGCAUAUGCAUGUACAAGCUGAAAUGUGAACUGGAUAAUUUCAGUGAUUCCACUAUAAAGUAAAUGCUCUUAUAUUUGCACUUAAAACUGGUAGUGCACAAUAUAAAAAUGAACAAUAAUAGUCAAGCUAAUAAAUUAAAUUUUCCAUUUUUAAAACUUAGAAUGACGUUAAAUAAAUGAAAAAAACCCACACCACAAGUUCGGAGACACACUACAGAAGAAAGGGAACAUCUUUAUAUUCUAGUACUUUAACAGCCCUUUUUAUUUCCAAGCUCCACAAAUUAUGUAGCUGUCCUGCUUCAAAAUCUGUCAUUCAUGUUGCAUUGUAACUUAUGAAAACCCACGCUUCUUCUUUAAAACUAUUGUCUCUGUUGUGAGUUCUUAAAGUUCAUUUUGAAAACUACAAAUCAAGAAUCGAUUCUUUUCUUUGUUUCUAAAUCUCUGCUGUGCUACCUCUGUACCCCAAGAAAAUGGACAGGAGUAUAGGAAAUGCAGGAAAGCCACAUUGGUUAAUACCUCAAAACACUACCCCCCUAUAUUAAAAACAAAAACAGAACAAAAUCUAGCAGCUAUAAAUUCCUUGAAGGCAGGGACUUUUUUUCUUCCUCCUGGGUUUACCACAGUGUUUUCCUUUUUUCUUGUAAUAAGGACCUAAUAGCUAUUUGUCCCUUUCCUCAACAAGUGUUUGUUCAAUUAAUUUUUUUGUUUUGUUUUGUUUUGUUUUGUUUUUUGAGACGGAGUCUUGCUCUAUAGCCCAGGCUGGAGUGCAGUGGCACAAUCCUGGCUCACUGCAACCUCCACCUCCUGGGUUCAAGCAAUUCUCCUGCCUCAGCUUCCUGUAGCUGGGAUUACAGGCAUCUGCCACCAACCAACCCCUGCUAAUUUUUCUUUUUCUUUUCUUUUUUUUCUUAAGAGACGGAGUCUCGCUCUGUUGCCCAGGCUGAAGUGCAGUGGCAUGAUCUCGGCUCACUGCAAGCUCCGCCUCCUGGGUUCACACCAUUCUCCUGCCUCAGCCUCCCGAGUAGCUGGGACUACAGGCGCCUGCCACCACAGUCGGCUAAUUUGUAUAUUUUUAGUAGAGACGGGGUUUCACCAUGUCAGCCAGGAUGGUCUCGAUCUCCUGACCUCGUGAUCUGCCCGCCUCGGCCUCCCAAAGUGCUGGGAUUACAGUCAUGAGCCACCACGCCCAGUCAUUUUUUUGGUAUUUUUAGUAGAGAUGGGGUUUCACCAUGUUGGCCAGGCUGGUUUCGAACUCCUGACCUCAAGUGAUCCGCCUGCUUCGUGCUCCCAAAGUGCUAGGAUUACAGGCGUGAGCCACUGUGACAGGCCUGUUCAAUUAAAUUUAAAACACUCUUCAUUUUGCUUUUCCAGUUCUCAACCACCACCAGAGGGUCCCUAUUGUCUUAUCCCAUAAAUUGAAACUCUUAACCAGGCAUCUAAUGCUCUAUAAUCUGGACUCAGUCUACUUUUCCAAAUACGUCUCCCAAGGCUCCCUGGAACUCAGUAAGUAAUUACUGAGCAAAGAUGGAAUGACUGAUCAACAGCUCCUAGGAGUUACAGAAACUGCAGCUGGAUAAAUCAUUAGACCUUUUAGGGUCAGGUUUAUGAAACAGAUGCAAGCUAACAUUAAGGCCCCAAUAUUGGGAGCUGGUGGUGAGUGUUACAGACCCUAGGCGAGAAUAGUAAGAAAUGCGAUUCCGAGAACAGUCAUCCCGGCAGGAUCAUAUUCUGGCUUCUGCAAGAUUCAGGGACCCAAAGUUUGCUGGAGAAUUGCCUGCAGCUGCUGCUAGUCCACCAGGAAAGGGUAUGAGCAGCUGGGCCUCACAACAGGGGCCUUCCUGUAGAGCUCCCUACCUGAGCUCAGGCAAGCUCCUACAUAUGAGAGUUUGAGGGCCAUGAAAUCCUAGCCAUUACUAAGGGUCAGAAUUUAGUAUACUGGUAAUAGCCCUUAAGAAAAGCUUCGGGCAGAGACUGGCUUUUAAAGCAGCAUAAUUCAAACAGGCGUUAUUCUGAGCGUACCUUUGUGGGAAACGAUUUUGUUUUUAACAUGCCUACUGGAGGGCUCAUAACCUAACAGGGCUGGGAGAAACUUCAAGAACCAUCUCAUCCAUUCCCCUGUCUUUAGCUAGAAAACCCUUAAAUUUUUUUUCAGAAAACUACCCAUGUAUCCCCAGCCUUUUGGUAACUCCAUUUGUUCAUCAAUCCUGAUUUCAGGGAGCUAUUUCUGAUAUUUAACCUAAUCUUCUUCGGCUCUCUUUUUUCAUCUCAUGCUUCUCAACUCUAAAUGGCCCUCGUGCCUACUGCUUGCUUAUUGACACAAAGUUGAUAUUAUAAUCACUGUUAUUGUUUUAUCCUUAUGGUUAUUAUUAGAACUGACAGCACAUUAAGAGGUGUACAAAGAUACAUAAGUAAAUAUAUGUUUAGAUCAGUAGUCUUACAACUUUGAAAAAUCCAGGACUGUUUGGGUGUUUUUUUUUUAGACGGAGUCUUGCUCUGUUGCCCAGGCUGGAGUGCAGUGGCGUGAUCUCAGCUCACUGCAAGCUCCGUCUCCUGGGUUCAUGCCAUUCUCCUGCCUCAGCCUCCCGAGUAGCUGGGACUACAGGUGCCUGCCACCACGUCCGGCUAAUUUUGUUUUUGUAUUUUUAUUAGAGACGGGGCUUCACCGUGUUAACCAGGAUGGUCUUGAUCUCCUGAUCUCGUGACCAGGUGAUCUGCCUGCCUCAGCCUCCCAAAGUGCUGGGAUUACAGGCCUGAGCCACUGCGCCCAGCCAAUUUUUGUAUUUUUAAUGCAGACAGUGUUUCACCAUGUUGGCAAGGCUGGUCUCAAACUCCUGACCUCAAGUGAUCUGCCCGCCUCGGCCUCCCAAAGUGCUAGGAUUACAGGCGUGAGCCACCGCACCUGAUCUGUUCGUAUGUUUUUAACUUGGAAAUGGGGAUGUGAGCAGAUACGAAUAGCAGAGUAGCAGGAUUGUUUUCUAUAUCUCAGACUGUGGCCCACUCCUCAACAGCCAUCACUCAUCUUGCACCCAGCCUGAGAAGAAAACAUAUAAUCGAUAAAUGUCUUUUAAACAUGCAAAAGGGGAGCAGGAAGGUGAUGGUGGAUGCUAUGAGGGUAGAAACCAUGGGGGCCUGGGGACUGCAUGAAAAUCUGCCUCAACCUCAUGUGAGAACUGGAAGAAAAUAUUUGUCAGAAGUGAAUUGUAACAAUACCUACCCUACCCUUCCCUCAAAGUGUCCCAGCUAAAAGCAGAAAUGAAAAACAAAGAGAUGUACCCUAUAGGAAAGACAUUCAAAGGCCUGGGGCUUACGUGAUCUUGUUCUGUUUACCUUUUUUAAAAAAUUCAUAAAACAUUUAAAAAAAUGUAUCCAUGUUGCAAAAUGUACACUUAGUGCAUUACUUCCAACAGCUGCAUGUUGUUCCAUGGCACCCAUUACCUCGUACUUACCCAUUGUGCUGGUGAUGUAUAUGCUAAGGUUGCCUUCAAUAUCUGGCUAGCUCAAGUGCUGCUGUGAUGAACACCUCAAUUGUGGUCACUUAAGGACCUGUGCAAGAGCUUCUUAGGGGUGCACAUUCCCAGGAGUGGAACUGCUGGGUCAUCGGGAAAAAUACAUUCUACCACAUUCUAUAUUUCAUUAAGUAUUGUUAGUUAAUGCUCCAAAAUGAUUGUACCAGGACUUAACUCCCAAUAACAAAGCAGGAGGAUUCAAAUUUCUUCCUAUCCUAGGCAACACUUGAUAUUACUAAACUUUCACGUUUGCCUAUUUAAUAGAUGUAAAUAAGUAUUUUGGUGUUUUUAUGUACAGUUAUCUGAUUAUAAGUGAGGUUGGAUAUCUCUUCAUCUACUUGUUAGUCUCUCAAGGUUCCCUUCUAUAAAUCUGCCUGUUCAUAUCCUUUGGCUAUUUUUCUAUUGCAUUUCUUUUUUUUCUCAGUUAUUUGUAGGAAUUCUUAAUACUGUAUAUUCUAGAUAUUAAUCUUUUGUUGGCUUCAGCCUUUGAAAAUACUUUCCAAUCUAUCAACUUUCUCUAAACUUGUUUAUGAUGUUUUUUGUUGAACAGAACAGUUUAAAAUUUUGAUGUCAUCAAGUUCAUCUUUUUUUGAUUUUAUAGUUUAUGCUUUGAGUCUUGUUUAAAUGCUUUUCUUCUUUUUUCUACCCUAAGAUUACAAAGCUAUUCUUCUAUUUUUAAUUUCUAUUAGUUUUACCUUUUACUUUUAGGUUUUUUUUUGUUGUUGUUGUUGCUAAUGUAGAGCUCACCUUUGCAUAUGGUAUGAGAUAGGGGUUUAAUUUUAUAUUUUUCUCACAGUGAAUCAAUUUCCCCAACAUUAUCUAUGAAACCAAAUCUCUGUGUUAGAUUGGAUUAUUGUUCCCAAUCCUUCUUGUUCUCCUGGCUCUACAAUUAUACACCUGUGCCUUUUGGCAUGAAGUUUUGCAUUACCUUCCACUAUUGAUGUUCAACUUGGCCAUAUGACUUGUUUGGCCAAUGGAAUGUUGGUGAAUAUGAUGAGAGGAGAGGUGUUAAAUGUAUUUGAAUGAUUUGGCUUGACCUCUUGCCAGAAGGAGACAUGUGGUGAAGACUUGAAUCUGACCUGCAUCCUGGAGCCAAGUCCAGCUGAAUUCAGCUGAACCCAACCAAGUCUUAAGGAGCCCAGAUGAGAUGAGCUGAAUCUCAGUUCAUAUACAGACCCAUAAGGGAGAAAAAUAAAUGACUACCAUAAGCCACUGAUAAGUUGGGAUUAUCUGUUACAUAAUAUUAUUAUUGCAGCAAGCAAUAGCUGACUAACUCAACAUGAUUUCCUCAUGGAUUUGUGGUGUUACCAUGAUCACAUAUCAGAUUCUCUUAUGUAAAUGGGUUGUUUCUGAGUUCUCUAUUCUGUUUCAUGGUUCUGUAUGUCUGCUACUAUAAAAAAUGACCGACUUAUAAAGAAAUUUAGUCUUCCAUGUGCAUUUUAGAAUACGUUUAAAUUCCCCAAAUCUUGCUACAAGUUUGGUUUGCAUUGAAUUUAUAAACACAUUUAGAGAUAAUUGAGAUCUUAAUAACGUUACAUCAUCUUAUCCAUAAACAUUAUAUAUACCUCUAUUUGGGUUUCCUUUGAAUUCCUUCAAUAAAUUCAAAUAUGUUAAUUCCUGGAUACUUUAUAGUUUUGUUGCUUUUAUAAAUAGUAUCUUAUUUUCUAGUUUGUUAGUGUAAGUGUGAAUGAAUACUUUCAG